AGCUACUAAGAGCGAAUGGUGGAUGCCUUGACUGGUAAAGGCGAUGAAGGACGUACUAGACUGCGAUAAGCUACGGGGAGCUGUCAAGAAGCUUUGAUCCGUAGAUUUCCGAAUGGGGCAACCCAAUGUAUAGAGAUAUACAUUACCUAUAUAGGAGCGAACGAGGGGAAUUGAAACAUCUUAGUACCCUCAGGAAAAGAAAUCAAUAGAGAUUGCGUCAGUAGCGGCGAGCGAAAGCGCAAGAGGGCAAACCCAGUGCUUGCACUGGGGGUUGUAGGACUGCAAUGUGCAAGAGGUAAGUUUAGCAGAACAUUCUGGAAAGUAUAACCAUAGAGGGUGAUAGUCCCGUAUGCGAAAAACAAACCUUAGCUAGCAGUAUCCUGAGUAGGGCGGGACACGAGGAAUCCUGUCUGAAUCCGGGUCGACCACGAUCCAACCCUAAAUACUAAUACCAGAUCGAUAGUGCACAAGUACCGUGAGGGAAAGGUGAAAAGAACUGAGGUGAUCAGAGUGAAAUAGAACCUGAAACCAUUUGCUUACAAUCAUUCAGAGCCCUAUGUAGCAAUACAGGGUGAUGGACUGCCUUUUGCAUAAUGAGCCUGCGAGUUGUGGUGUCUGGCAAGGUUAAGCAAACGCGAAGCCGUAGCGAAAGCGAGUCUGAAUAGGGCGCUUAGUCAGAUGCUGCAGACCCGAAACGAAGUGAUCUAUCCAUGAGCAAGUUGAAGCUAGUGUAAGAACUAGUGGAGGACUGAACCCAUAGGCGUUGAAAAGCCCCGGGAUGACUUGUGGAUAGGGGUGAAAGGCCAAUCAAACUUCGUGAUAGCUGGUUCUCUCCGAAAUAUAUUUAGGUAUAGCGUUGUGUCGUAAUAUAAGGGGGUAGAGCACUGAAUGGGCUAGGGCAUACACCAAUGUACCAAACCCUAUCAAACUCCGAAUACCUUAUAUGUAAUCACAGCAGUCAGGCGGCGAGUGAUAAAAUCCGUCGUCAAGAGGGAAACAACCCAGACUACCAGCUAAGGUCCCUAAAUCUUACUUAAGUGGAAAACGAUGUGAAGUUACUUAAACAACCAGGAGGUUGGCUUAGAAGCAGCCAUCCUUUAAAGAAAGCGUAAUAGCUCACUGGUCUAGUGAUUUUGCGCGGAAAAUAUAACGGGGCUAAAGUAAGUACUGAAGCUGUAGACUUAGUUUACUAAGUGGUAGGAGAGCGUUCUAUUUGCGUCGAAGGUAUACCGGUAAGGAGUGCUGGAGCGAAUAGAAGUGAGCAUGCAGGCAUGAGUAGCGAUAAUUAAUGUGAGAAUCAUUAACGCCGUAAACCCAAGGUUUCCUACGCGAUGCUCGUCAUCGUAGGGUUAGUCGGGUCCUAAGUCGAGUCCGAAAGGGGUAGACGAUGGCAAAUUGGUUAAUAUUCCAAUACCAACAUUAGUGUGCGAUGGAAGGACGCUUAGGGCUAAGGGGGCUAGCGGAUGGAAGUGCUAGUCUAAGGUCGUAGGAGGUUAUACAGGCAAAUCCGUAUAACAAUACUCCGAGAACUGAAAGGCUUUUUGAAGUCUUCGGAUGGAUAGAAGAACCCCUGAUGCCGUCGAGCCAAGAAAAGUUUCUAAGUUUAGCUAAUGUUGCCCGUACCGUAAACCGACACAGGUGGGUGGGAUGAGUAUUCUAAGGCGCGUGGAAGAACUCUCUUUAAGGAACUCUGCAAAAUAGCACCGUAUCUUCGGUAUAAGGUGUGGUUAGCUUUGUAUUAGGAUUUACUCCGAAAGCAAGGAAACUUACAACAAAGAGUCCCUCCCGACUGUUUACCAAAAACACAGCACUCUGCUAACUCGUAAGAGGAUGUAUAGGGUGUGACGCCUGCCCGGUGCUCGAAGGUUAAUUGAUGGGGUUAGCAUUAGCGAAGCUCUUGAUCGAAGCCCGAGUAAACGGCGGCCGUAACUAUAACGGUCCUAAGGUAGCGAAAUUCCUUGUCGGUUAAAUACCGACCUGCAUGAAUGGCGUAACGAGAUGGGAGCUGUCUCAAAGAGGGAUCCAGUGAAAUUGUAGUGGAGGUGAAAAUUCCUCCUACCCGCGGCAAGACGGAAAGACCCCGUGGACCUUUACUACAGCUUGACACUGCUACUUGGAUAAGAAUGUGCAGGAUAGGUGGGAGGCUUUGAGUAUAUGACGCCAGUUGUAUAUGAGCCAUUGUUGAGAUACCACUCUUUCUUAUUUGGGUAGCUAACCAGCUUGAGUUAUCCUC
rnacentral:rRNA from 1 species